GACGAACGCUGGCGGCGUGCUUAACACAUGCAAGUCGAACGGAAAGGCCCUGCUUUUGUGGGGUGCUCGAGUGGCGAACGGGUGAGUAACACGUGAGUAACCUGCCCUUGACUUUGGGAUAACUUCAGGAAACUGGGGCUAAUACCGGAUAGGAGCUCCUGCUGCAUGGUGGGGGUUGGAAAGUUUCGGCGGUUGGGGAUGGACUCGCGGCUUAUCAGCUUGUUGGUGGGGUAGUGGCUUACCAAGGCUUUGACGGGUAGCCGGCCUGAGAGGGUGACCGGCCGCAUUGGGACUGAGAUACUGCCCAGACUCCUACGGGAGGCAGAAGUGGGGAAUAUUGCACAAUGGGCGGAAGCCUGAUGCAGCAACGCCGCGUGCGGGAGGACGGCCUUGGGGUUGGAAACCGCUUUCGCCUGUGACGAGGCGUGGGUGACGGUAAUGGGUAAAGAAGCACCGGCUAACUACGUGCAAGCAGCCGCAGUAA
rnacentral:rRNA from 1 species